GCUGAACUUAAGCAUAUCAAUAAGCGGAGGAAAAGAAACCAACAGGGAUUGCCUUAGUAACGGCGAGUGAAGCGGCAAAAGCUCAGAUUUGAAAUCUGGUAUCAUUUUUUGGUGCCCGAGUUGUAAUCUGUAGAGGAGUAUUCGGUUUUGGUCAUGGCUUAAGUUCCUUGGAACAGGACGUCAUGGUGGGUGAGAACCCCGUUUGCGGCCUUUGUCUUCAAAAUCAUGUGAAUCUCCUUCAACGAGUCGAGUUGUUUGGGAAUGCAGCUCUAAAUGGGUGGUAAAUUCCAUCUAAGGCUAAAUAUCUGCAAGAGACCGAUAGCGCACAAGUAGAGUGAUCGAAAGAUGAAAAGAACUCUGAACAGAGAGUUAAAUAGUACGUGAAAUUGUUGAAAGGGAAGCACUUGCUACCAGACGCACUUGCAAUUGAUCAGGCUUGCAUUUUGUAAGCUGCACUCAGUUGUAGGUGGGUCAGCAUCAGUUAUGGCGGUGGGAUAAAGCCUGGAGGAAUGUGGCUCUCUUCGGGGAGUGUUAUAGCCUCUGGUGUAAUACUGCCUGCUAUGACUGAGGAUCGCGCCUUCGGGCGAGGAUGCUGGCAUAAUGGUCGUAAGUGACCCGUCUUGAAACACGGACCAAGGAGUCUAACAUCUAUGCGAGUAUUUGGGCUUUAUAAACCCUUAUGCGAAAUGAAAGUGAAUGGAGGUGGGAACCGCAAGGUGCACCAUCGACCGAUCCUGAUGUCUUCGGAUGGAUUUGAGUAUGAGCAUAGCUGUUGGGACCCGAAAGAUGGUGAACUAUACUUGAAUAGGGUGAAGCCAGAGGAAACUCUGGUGGAGGCUCGCAGCGGUUCUGACGUGCAAAUCGAUCGUCAAAUUUGGGUAUAGGGGCGAAAGACUAAUCGAACCAUCUAG
rnacentral:rRNA from 1 species